ACGUAGGAUCCAAGCGUUAUCCGGAUUUACUGGGCGUAAAGCGCGUGCAGGUGGCUUGUUAAGUUGGGUGUUAAAUCUCUCGGCUCAACUGAGAGGUGUCGCUCAAAACUAGCAGACUGGAGGACGGUAGAGGAAGGCAGAAUUCCGGGUGUAGUGGUGAAAUGCGUAGAUAUCCGGAGGAAUACCAGUGGCGAAGGCGGCCUUCUGGACCGUUCCUGACACUCAGACGCGAAAGCUAGGGGAGCAAACGGGA
rnacentral:rRNA from 1 species